AGCAGCCGCGGUAAUUCCAGCUCCAAUAGCGUAUAUUAAAGUUGCUGCAGUUAAAAAGCUCGUAGUUGAAUUUCGGGAUCAAUAUGUUGGUCGUGCCUCGGUACGUACUAGCUUAUUGGUUUCUCCCUUCUGAUGAACCAUGAUGUCAUUUAUUUGGUGUUAUGAGGAAUCAGGACUGUUACUUUGAAAAAUUAGAGUGUUUAAAGCAGGCUCACGCUUGAAUACAUUAGCAUGGAAUAAUGAAAUAGGACGUUUGAUCCUAUUUCGUUGGUUUCUAGGAUCGACGUAAUGAUUAAUAGGGAUAGUUGGGGCAUUAGUAUUCAAUUGUCAGAGGUGAAAAUUCUUGGAUUUAUUGAAGACUAACUACUGCGAAAGCAUUUGCC
rnacentral:rRNA from 1 species